AGGGGGUCAGCAUGAUACAUUUGGUAGAAUGCUGAUUGUGUAACAUUCCCCCUUUACACACAUAAAAUGAAACACUGUGGAAACACUUAGACAGCAAGACAGGCUGGAAGGAUGUAAACCAAACUGAGUUGCUACCUCUGGGAGGAUUGUUUGAGCUCAGGAGGCAGAGUACAGUGGUGCAAUCUCAGCUCAUUGCAACAUCUGCCUCCCGGGUUCAAGCGAUUCUCCCCGCUCAGCCUCCUGAACAGCUGGGAUUACAGGCACAGUGAGAUCCCACCACCAUACUCCAACCUAGGUGACAGAGUGAGACCCCGUCCCAAAAAAAAAAACAAAGAACACCCCCAGCCCCCACCAAAAAGAAAGAAAGAAAGAGAAAAGAAAGAAAGAAAGAAAGGAAGGAAGAAAAGAAAGAGAGCGAGAGACAAAAAAGAAAAGAAAAGAAAAAAAUGAAAGGAAGGAAAUAAGGAAGAAAGAGCAAUCCUUAGGGGUGAACCCAGAAAUUCUGCAAACAUUCUAGUUUGAAUCACCUCCGGUUAGAUGUCCAGACCCAUGAGCCAACAGUGACUUAUUCCAGAGUGAAAUUCCUUCAGGGUAGGAGAGCCAUCGAGUUAGUUUGUAGUGGGCUGAAGUCUCCUGGAAAUGAGGUCGGCAGAUAUAUAUUGGAAAGCAAAGAUUUGGUUUCAGGAAGCAAUAUCACCUACUCUAACUAAUAAAACACAAAAACCACUUUGAAGCAUUUUCAAGGAAUGAAUAUGAACAAGUUCAGACAUUAUGCAAAGGGCAGUUGAGAAAGCCAUUUCAUUUCAGCCACUUCCCACCCCCUCACUGACUAAAUAUAUGGCCACAUGCAUCUCACCGACAGGACGGGCAAAUAAAUGGCCCUUGUGUUCAUGACAAGGAGCUGUGGAUAGAAUUCUGCAGUGUGCUCUUUUCUGUCCAUCACUUGUUAAACGCCUGCCAGCUUUGGGAAAACAGCUAGGGGAGUUACUAGACAAGACAAAUGAUAUUCCCCACAGCCCCCCAUCCCCCACAACCACCACCAAUCAGGGCACCCAGCCCUGACCCCAUCUUCCAGGGCAGAAGGAAGCUCCAGGUUUGGAGCCCGGCAGCCUCAGGUCUGGGUUUCCAGCCUUCUUCGGAUGUGGCACAGCC
rnacentral:lncRNA from 1 species